rnacentral:lncRNA from 1 species
CACUCAAUGAAUAUGGCAGGAGUGUGUAUAAAUGAAAAAAAGGUGGUAUAUGAAGAGAGUGGAUAACUUAGAGAAAUGCUCUUGGAGGAUUUCUUUCUUGGAUGAAUUUCACUUGGUUGAUCUUCUAAAUGUGCUCCAAGCAAGGUUGCCUUAUAUAGAGGUGUAUCACCAUGUGAACAAAUUUCAAGUCUUCUUUCCAUUGUUGAAGAU